GACGAACGCUGGCGGCGUGCCUAAUACAUGCAAGUCGAACGCAGUUUCGAACGGGUGAGUAACGCGUAGGUAACUGCCUCAUAGCGGGGGAUAACUAAUGGAAACGAUAGCUAAAACCGCACACUGUAAGAUGGACCUGCGUUGUAUUAGCUAGUUGGUGGGGUAAAGGCACACCAAGGCGACGAUACGUAGCCGGCCUGAGAGGUUGAACGGCAAAACUGGGACUGAGACACGGCCCAGACUCCUACGGGAGGCAGCAGUGGGGAAUCUUCGGCAAUGGACGGAAGUCUGACCGAGCAACGCAGCGUGAGUGAAGAAGGUUUUCGGAUCGUAAAGCUCUGUUGAUAGAGAAGCGGUAACUAAACAGAAAGGAACGGCUAACUACGUGCCAGCAGCCGCGGUAAUAC
rnacentral:rRNA from 1 species